rnacentral:lncRNA from 1 species
GGUUUCUCUGUGUAGCCCUGGCUGUCCUUCUGUUGUUUUUUUAAGACAGGAUUUCACUCUAUAAAGAGUGCUGGCCUUGUAGAGAGGCACCUGCCUUUGCAUCCCAAGAACUAGGUAAGAUGAAAGGUGUGUACUUUUACACCUGGCCCAUUUGUCUGCUCAGGAGAGAAUUUUUUCUUGAGUCUUUCUAUGAUUUUAAGGCCAGACUGGUCUACAGUGUGAGUUCCAGGAUAGUCAGGGCUGCACAGAGAAACCCUGUCUUGGGGAAAAAAAAUACUUGGGGAGAAAAAAAAAACCUGUAUGUUAUACUGCAUUAUGCUUUAGAUUUUGGACCAAUUGAUAUAUAUUAAAACAUGAUUUUUAUAACAUAUAGAAAUACUCGGUUAUGUUUUAAACUUUUAAAUUGAGAUUAUUUUAUUGUGUAAAAGUAUCUUUUACUCAUCUGAAGUAAUUAUUGUCUUGGAGGUUUACUGCUGAAUAAGCUCACCCUUUCUAGCUCGUUCUGAUGUCUGACCAGCUGGUUCAAACUAGUUUCUCCCAGCUUUCUGACUGAAUUGUUCUGCUUGACCUCAAACUUAACUCUAGAAACCUAUCUAAUCUUCUGGCUCCUCAUUCUCUGUAAAACUGCUUCGUCUGCACCAACUGAACUGAACUCAAAAACACGCUCCACUCCACUCCACUCCACUCCACUCCACUCCACUCCACUCCACUGCACUCCACUCCACUCCACUCCACUCCACUCCACUCCACUGCACAGUGCAGAGCACCAGCCUUAAGUGACUGAACUUACAGAACUGCCCUCCAACUAGAGAAGUCACCUUCAAACACCACUGCUUCCUUCUGCAUACUAACCUUACUUUCAUUGUUUGGAAUUAAAGGUGUGCACUAAGGGCAUGUUUGUAUUCCAGCCAGAGGGAUUAAAGAUGUGUGGUCCUUUGCCAGAGCAGCCAUGUUACUGGAUUAAAAUUCCUCUGUGGUAUUGUAAAACUAGAUAACUAGACUAGUGGUUCUUUGCUUUAGUUUGUGAUUGAACUAACUAAAUUCUGUUAAAAUUGUCCUCUAAUUUUUCCUCCCAUUGUCUUCCUUUGUUCUUAGACUAACAGCACAGCUGCAGCUCUUCCUUCAGAGAAGAGGCUGCACAUUUAAUGUAGUUCAAACAGCUGCUGUGGUGAGACUGUCACUGCCACUGCCACUUGCUGGCUCUGUGCAACAGCAUGCUGACCCUGAAUGUAGGGCAGGUGCUGAUUGACAGUUAACGCUCUAGAUACCACUCAGCUGCUUCAGCUCUCUAUAUAAGUGUUGCUUAUAGGGGGCUGGAGGGAUGGCUCAGCAGUUAAGAGCACUGACUGCUCUUCCAGAGGUCCUUAGUUCAAUUCCCAGCAACCACAUGUUGGCCCACAACUAUCUGUAUUGGGAUACAAUGCCCUCUUCUGGUGUAUCUGAAGAGCACAACAGUGCACUCACAUACAUUAAAUAAAUAAAUAAAUCUUUUAAAAAAAAAGUGAUGCUUAUAGCCCAGGAUUAUCUAUUCAUAACUGUCCUACCUCUGGCAUUUCAAAUGCUGAAAUUAUAGAUGUCUGCUACAAUGCCUGGGUUAACGAAUGUCUUUUAAAAGUAAAGAAUUAAUAAACACAAGAUUCACAUGGCUACUUGUCAGGGGUGUAGAAGACUAUUAUGGAGGAUGAGUAGAGAGAUAAUAUGGCAGUGUUUAGUGCAUGCAUUUAUUGGAUAGUGGUUUCGCUGGUGUUUAUUAUAUUUAUAUAAAUAUUUUAUUAUAUUUUUAUAUACUUGUGUGUAUGGACAGGAGAGACCCUGGGAAUGAUUGUAGAGGUCAGAGAACAACUUAUAGAAGUCAGUUCUCUUUCAACCAUAGAGGUUUCAGGAAUCAAACUCAGUAACCAAGUUUGGUGGCCAGUACCUUCUAAGCCAUCUUGCUGGCCCUAGAUAAUUAUUUAAUAUUUAUUUAAUAAUUUUAUUUAAUAUUCAUUCAAUUUAUAUUUAAUAUUUAAUAGUGUUUAUCCAAUUAAUAUUUAAAUAAUAAAGGAAGUCAUAUGUAACCAAUAGGGUGAGGAUAUCAUCAAUGAUAUACAUAAUUACUCCAUUUAUUAUCCAUCAAUGAUAUAUAUAAUUACUAGGGGUUAUAGGAAGGUAGGUAGUAUUGAAUUGUUCCUUUAACCGAAAUGCUAGGACCUCUUUUGGCUACAUACAUGAAUCAUCAGCCUUCAAACAUAUUUAUGAUGAAGACUUUUAAAGGUUGAAAGAACUAAUAAAGAAUGCUGUGUAGACUGGGAAUAUAUAGCAAAGGGUUCAGAACCACCCUGGGAUAUGCAGUAAGAAAAAUUAGUUUCAGCUAGGUGUGGUGGUAUAUGCCUUUAAUCCCAGCAUUUGGGAGGAAGAGGGAGAUGGACCGCUGCCAGCCUGGUUUAUUACAUAGUGAGUUGUAGGACAGCCAGGGCUAUAAAAUAAAGAGACCUUGUCUAAAAGGAAGAAAGGAAGGAAGCAAGCAAGU